ensembl:lncRNA
AUGCAUAAAUACUGUGAAUUUGUUGAGAACACUCAUGAGUCCAACAAAGAUGAAGAGGUAGAAGAAGACGAUGGAGGAAGAAGAAGGAGAAAUGGAAACUAUAGCUCCAGGAGGUGGGACAGUGGUGGACGGAGCGGGCCAGGUUACAGGAUCCAACCCUGGGGACCUCCAUGGAGGAAGGAGUGUGGCUCAACAAGAAGAGGAGGAAACAGCGUCAUAAACAGAAGCUCUUGUGUCUGGGUCUGGUGCCGCGUGCUGCGGCUCAAGUUCACCUACGAGAGCGAGGGGGGAGGAAGAUAUGAGGCAGAGAAGAGCAGCUGAAGUGAUAAUCUUCCUCAGGACCACACAAGAUCUAUGUUUCUGAUUGUGAUGCCACUGCAGUUGUGUCCCUGUUCCAGUAUUGGAUCACAGACAUCCCGCCCAUGCAGAGAGAAUGGAAAACAGGCCAACCUACAACAUAACCUUCCUAGUCGAGCCAACCAACAACACAACCUUAGACUUUCCUAGAUGUUCAGGGUUUUUAACAAUACUCCUGACGGAAAACAUGUCUGACUUAAUUCAUUGUGAGCCCAUGAAACGGAGUUAAGUACAUACCGUAAGCUCACUCCACAGCUAGCUUUAAAUGGAUGGAGCCAUCCAAUCGGUACCUUUUGGGUGGCUCAAACCGUUGGAAUGUUGUCAAGGAGGGAGGCCACGUGUGUUAGCAAAGCAGAGGUCCCGAGUUCGAGCCAGGUACAAGCCGAAUCGAGGAAGUGAUAACAGACUAAAUUAAUGAACCGUUUAAUGGAUUUUCCCCACAGAAAAGUGAGGCGAGCAAGUGUUUUUUCAUGUGGAUAAGGAAUAACAUUACUUUGUGGAUACUUUGUGGAUAAGGAAUAACAUUACUUUACCACAUUGUCCUAUGCACCUGUGUGGGCUCUAGAGUUAUAUUCCAUGUGAAAACCUACACUAUUUUUCUUAAAAAGAAUGCAGAUGUUACAAUGUUAUAACCAUGAGAAAUUAAACACACUAAAGUAUAACUUGUGACAGUUUCGUUAUUCCUGAUCAAAAUAAUUAUCUCUGAUAUACACAACCGUUCAAAAGUUUGGAGUCACUUAGAAAUGCAUUUUUUUUGUCCAUUAAAAUAACAUCAAAUUGAUCAGAAAUACAGUGUAGACAUUGUUAAUGUUAUAAAUGACUAUUGUCGCUGGAAAUGGCAGAUUUCGUUUUUAAUGGAAUAUCUACAUAGCCGUACAGAGGCCCAUUAUCAGCAACCAUCACUCCUGUGUUCCAAUGGCACGUUGUGUUAGCUGAUCUAAGUUUAUCAUUUGAAAAGGCUAAUUGAUCAUUAGAAAACCCUUUUGCAAUUAUGUUAGCACAGCUGAAAACUGUUGUCCUGAUUAAAGAAGCAAUAAAACUGGCCUUUAGACUAGUUGAGUAUCUGGAGCAUCAGCAUUUGUGGGUUUGAGUGUGUGGCAUGCUUGAACAGAGGCAAUUGUGGUUCUGUGGUCUGGCCCACUAUCCAAUUGAAUGAUCAAGAUUGACUUGUUGAGAGACACAUCAUCUUCACUGUAGUUCUAUCCACUGAGGAUGCUGAGAUUUUAACUGUAUUUUCAAAGGGGGCUGGAAGGCUAGAAAACCUUGUCCUUGACAGUGACAUGAACUUUCCCAUCAUAGAAUGAACUAGAUGGAGAUCCUGGGAUCAACAUGACAGAUGGUACAAGUCCACUGAUGUGAUAAUCAUGGUCGGCAGCUGCUAGAACUGGCCCGCUCACAGGAGCAAUGCUUGGAUGUUUGCCUCUGUUACAGGUCCCUAUAGGCUGGCCAGGUUCUCCGACAGGGAUGAUUGCCUUAUCAUCCACACAUAACAUUUCACUGUCCUUCUGCCACAUGCAGGCAAACUGUUUUAAUGUAGUUCUAAACUUUCAGUCUUGAUGUUCCUUUCUUAUCACCCGAGACUGGACUAUGAACUUGAGGUCAAACCUUCCUGUGUACUGGAGAGCAGACAUGGACCAUGGAUUCUUGGGUGUAAACUGCAGUCUUAGCCACUGUAUUGAUGGGAUUUUAGUUACUGGUGGAAGCCGCUUUUCCACUUUGUCACACAAGUCCUCAACUAAUAUAUAUUUAUAUAUUGUUUACCUUUAUUUAACUAGGCCAGUCUGUUAAAAACAAAUUCUUAUUUUCAAUGACAGCCUAGGAAUAGUGGGUUAACUGCCAACAGAUUUUUACCUUGUCAGCUCGGGGAUUUGAUCUUGCAACCUUUCGGUUACUAGUCCAAUGCUCUAACCACUAGGCUACCUGCCGCCCCAUGUCUGCAAUCGUUGACCUGAGCUGUGUAUUCGUUAAAAUACUUUUGUACUUAAUCCCAAAAGUGCUGAAAUGAGGAUUGUGGUUUGCCAUUCAGCUUCCUUAAAUCCAUGAUCAGGUCUGGGUCAUCACCAUCAAGGAGGAACAAGGAUACUCUCUCAUCAAGUAGGCCCCCUGUUCAUCAUCAUUUGCUUAACUCUUGUCAUCUGUCAGAAACUGAUACAUUUCUCUCAGGAAGUAGCUGUUCACUUUGCAGCGUGUGCGUAUGUAUUCAGGAAUGUUUUUUGCAUUGCUCUAGUGUGGAGUAUGUUGGUAUUUCUUUUCACAGUGGGGAGAUGACAGAAGCCUGGUCUCAUGAACACCAUUGCUGUGUGAGGAUACCUUCCAUUUGAAUGUCAGAGUGCCUAGGUGGUUACCACAGGCAUACUUCUAUACAGUGAAAGUCGAUGGCGGUUUCAAGUUGUCAAUCCAUUUCCUUCUCUGGAAUCUUAUCUUCAGCAGCAAAGUCCAGUUGAAAGAGGGGGUGGAAUUGGGGCACUUUAUCCAAAGCUUGUAACAGAGUGCUAUACUGGGGGCUGACCGGUCAGCAUGGUGCUCUCACAGUGUAGCAUAAAACAUCAGACUCUGGUGUACGUAGGGGAGUGGGCUGUUGGUGACGUCUGGUCAUUGCUUGAUUCACCUUCUCCCAGUGGGAUGCAUCAGCUGCUAUGGACUCUGUUCGACUCGCCACAUCUUCUCUGAGAUCUAAUGAAUACAGGCCGUUUUAGUUGAGAGGUUUAAAACAUAAAGCU